CGAAAUUGACGGAAGGAAAAACUUUCUCCUUGGUUUAAAAGUCCAGAUAUCAAUUACAAGACAUAAAAAACAAAGACAAGUAUUGGUGGCCAGUAGAUGAUAGUGAGUGACACUAUUUGAUUUAGUCUAAUUAUUACAACAUGUUUGAUUCAAACUAUUUUGUAUUUGGCAGCGAAGCAGGUCGAAGAUGGCAGAUUUUACCUCCCUGACUACAGUGGAGUACAUUGAAGCCGAUAACUCUAUCUCCCUGUAUUUGGCAGUGGAAUAGAUUGAAGAUUGCAGAUCUUGCCUUCCUGUAUUUGGCAGCGAAGCAAGUCGAAGAUGGCGGAUUUUACCUCCCUGACUACAGUGGAGUACAUUGAAGCCGAUAACUCUAUCUCCCUGUAUUUGGCAGUGGAAUAGAUUGAAGAUUGCAGAUCUUGCCUUCCUGUAUUUGGCAGCGAAGCAGGUCGAAGAUGGCGGAUUUUACCUCCCUGACUACAGUGGAGUACAUUGAAGCCGAUAACUCUAUCUCCCUGUAUUUGGCAGUGGAAUAGAUUGAAGAUUGCAGAUCUUGCCUUCCUGUAUUUGGCAGCGAAGCAGGUCGAAGAUGGCAGAUUUUACCUCCCUGACUACAGUGGAGUACAUUGAAGCCGAUAAUUCUAUCUCCCUGUAUUUGGCAGUGGAAUAGAUUGAAGAUUGCAGAUCUUGCCUUCCUGUAUUUGGCAGCGAAGCAGAUCAAAUAUGGCAGAUUUUACCUCCCUGACUACAGUGGAGUACAUUGAAGCCGAUAAUUCUAUCUCCCUGUAUUUGGCAGUGGAAUAGAUUGAAGAUUACAGAUCUUGCCUUCCUGUAUUUGGCAGUGAAGCAGAUCAAAGAUGUCAGAUUUUACCUCCCUGACUACAGUGGAGUACAUUGAAGCCGAUAACUCUAUCUCCCUGUAUUUGGCAGUGGAAUAGAUUGAAGAUUACAGAUCUUAUCUCCCUAAGCAAUAAUGGAGUAGGUUGAAGACGGCAGAUUUUACCUCCCUGAUUACAGUGGAGUACAUUGAAGCUGGUAGUUCUACUUCCCUGGGAAACAGUGGAAUAGAUCGAAGAUUACAAUCUUAUCUCCCUAAGCAGUAGUGGAGUAGAUCGCAUUAAGUCUUAUCUCCCUAAGCAGUAGUGGAGCAGACAAAACCACAGAUCUUAUUUCCCUAAGCAAUAGUGGAGCAGAUCGCAUCAAGUCUUAUCUCCCUAAGUAGUAGUGGAGCAGACUAAAAACACAAAUCUCAUCCCCAUGGAAUCGUAGCAGAUUAGAUUGAAGCUACAAGGCGUAUCUGAAGUUGCAUUAGAGUGGAUCGAAGCAACAAGACGUAGCAGGCUGGAAUAAGGCUACUGGAAGAAGAUGAGCACCAAAAAGUCAAGACUCGGCAAGACCGGGCAAAAUUGGCCCUUUUGAUGUCUUUGCUCUAUUCUCGUUACACGAAAAUGAGCAAAGAGGGGCAGCUGUAAAGGCCCAAUUUUGGCCCAACUUAAACCAACCCUAACCAAAACCCAGUCCCAACCAGACCCACUACCUAAACACUAAAAACCCAACACCAGCCCAAAACAGUGAAGCCCGAUAGGCCCAAGUCUCUAAAAAAAUUUUUGGAAAGCCAGAAACCCUAGGGUUUCUGGCGCCGUUGCCCCAUGUGCGCGACCACGCAGUCCCCACUUCCUCCUCUGCCCAAAACCUAGCACUGCCCAUACCGUUUGCACCCCAUGCCUCUGUCACCUCCAUCGUGCCCAUCCCAUGCAAAGAGACAAAGCAUAAACAAUAAGAAAUUAGAUGAAAGUGGGUUAUAAAAACCCGAAUCAAAAUUGUAUGGCGGGGGGUUUUUUUUUUCUUUUCUGUUUUCGUUUUAACAUUCGUUCAAAUGUUCAAAAGAAAUCAACAACCAAGAUAGAAUGAAACACAUGUACAAGCCGUGAUUUUAACACUGAAAUCAGAAGUUCAAAGUUGUCAAAAAAAAUCAAAAACUACAAAGUAUAAGGUAAUCUUUUUCUUUAUUUUUUUCUCGUUUUCUAAACCUAUUUUCCAUACAUAAAUAUUAAUAUAUAUAUAUAUAUAAUACAAGAAAUAAAAAAAUAAAAAAAAUAAAUUUUUUUUACCUUUUUCGGCCACCGCGUGCGGUGGCCGGCGCCGGCGCCGGCGAGCCUCCGGUGGCCGUCUGGUGACCGGCCCCCCUGGCCGGAUUUUCCUUCCCCCCUCCCUUCUCUCUCCCUUCUCUCUUCCCUCUCUCUUCCUUUUUUUUCUUUCCCUCUCCCCA
rnacentral:lncRNA from 1 species